GGAAGCGUGCCCGAGUGGCCCAAGGGCGCUGUUUCGAAAACAGAUGGUCCGGUGAUGAGCCGGCACGAGGGUUCGACUCCCUCCGCUUCCGCCA
rnacentral:tRNA from 1 species